UGGGGAAUAUUGCACAAUGGGCGAAAGCCUGAUGCAGCAACGCCGCGUGAGCGAUGAAGGCCUUCGGGUCGUAAAGCUCUGUCCUCAAGGAAGAUAAUGACGGUACUUGAGGAGGAAGCCCCGGCUAACUACGUGCCAGCAGCCGCGGUAAUACGUAGGGGGCUAGCGUUAUCCGGAAUUACUGGGCGUAAAGGGUGCGUAGGUGGUUUCUUAAGUCAGAAGUGAAAGGCUACGGCUCAACCGUAGUAAGCUUUUGAAACUGAGAAACUUGAGUGCAGGAGAGGAGAGUAGAAUUCCUAGUGUAGCGGUGAAAUGCGUAGAUAUUAGGAGGAAUACCAGUAGCGAAGGCGGCUCUCUGGACUGUAACUGACACUGAGGCACGAAAGCGUGGGGAGCAAACAG
rnacentral:rRNA from 1 species